UGAGUUGAUUGCACUUUCCUUUUGUUGGAUCCAGGAGGCCCCUGUGCUGACUGUGAUCACCUACACGGGGCUGAGUCCCUCUCUGCUGUGUCUCCUCCUGGCAGCCCUCACCUUCCUCCUUUGUCGAUCCAUCCAGAAUACCAGCAUCUCCUCUACCUGCAGCUCCUUCUCUGCCUCUUCCUGGCCCACCUUCUCUACAUCACAGGCAUCAAACAGACCAAGCCCCAGUUGCUGGCUCAACCUAAAAAGAGGAUUUUUCUGGAGUUUCGUAUGUCUAGUCUCUCUGAUCGUCUUGCCUGGAAUAUCAUCACAGUUUGAUAAGAAGAGAGGUGAUACUGCUGUCUGAAUCUCUCUUCUACCUCUCCCGUGAUCAGAGCCCACCUGCUGGAGAACAGGAAGAACAAACAGAGCCUGUUUUAUCUGUCACCCUAUUGUCCCCCAUUGUAAACAACUCUGAUCCAUUUGCCAAAGUCCUCCCCCUUCCAGUUCAUUCUUUUGCCUCUACUUGUUGUCUACUGUGUUCUGUUUAAGUAGUAGCAUCUAAAUAAUAUAUUUUUUUAAAUUUUAUCAUUGCAAAUGAUGGGACUUUGGAUACAGCAUAGCUUUGUGUGCUAACCUGGUGCCCUGAUUAGUAAGAGGAUUAAUGUGAGUGAAUACAUCAGAGUCUCCAUGUGACCCGUGAAGAGAGUGGAUGUUUUCAAGUGAUACUUGAUUUAACAUCUGAGUGACACAUGAAUAAAUAAGAACUGAGGGUGUUGCCCAGAUUGUGAAUAUGGAGUGAGAAGAGGGCAACAUAAUGGAACCUUGGGGACCCCUGAUCUUUGAAAGGUGAGAAGAGAAAGAAGACCCCACCCUAUCACUUACCAACAAGUGCAUUUGAGCAAACCAUAUCAACAUCUGUAUUUCAGAUCAUUCAUCUACAAAAAAGGAAGAAAAAAAGUGCUCAUAAGCCCCCACUUUAUGGCAACUUUGUGAGAAUUACUUGUGAAAAUAUAUUAAAAGUUAUAUAUAUGAAAUACGUGAACAUUAUUGUUAUAUAUAAAAUUCUAAAUGAUCAAUUAUCAUUCAACUGAGUAAGACUUUAAAAAAAUAUGCUUUCUACAGGAAAAUAUUAUUAAAGGACUUAUCCAUAUUUGAAACCAGCAAGUCACUGACCAGGAAUGCUGUUGGCCCCUCUUAAGAGCCAGGCUGUCCCCAAGGACACUAGCUGCUCAUUGGCAUC